rfam:Lactobacillus delbrueckii subsp. bulgaricus ATCC 11842 complete genome
GAUCAAACUUAAGGACGUGGUGGCCUGUCAGUAACUACUGAAUCGGAAUGCUGCUCACGCAGAAUCCAUAUUCACUGCGCGACGGGCCG